UCUUCUGAGAGUUUGAUCCUGGCUCAGGAUGAACGCUGGCGGCGUGUCUAAGGCAUGCAAGUCGAACGGACGCAUUGGAGAUUAUAUCAAUGGUGCGUUAGUGGCAGACGGGAGCGUAACACAUUGGUAACCUACCUCGAAGUCGUGGAUAACUCCGCGAAAGCGGAGCUAAUACACGAUAUGGUCCCGCCCUCUUAUGAGAGGCGGGAUGAAAGUUCCGACGCUUCGAGAGGGGCCUAUGGCCUAUCAGCUUGUUGGUGAGGUAAUGGCUCACCAAGGCUAUGACGGGUAGGGGACGUGAGAGCGUGAUCCCCCUCACUGGGACUGAGACACUGCCCAGACACCUACGGGUGGCUGCAGUCAAGAAUCUUCCACAAUGGGCGAAAGCCUGAUGGAGCGACGCCGCGUGCCAGAUGAAGGCCUUCGGGUUGUAAAUGGCUUUUUUGAGGGACGAACAAAUGACGGUACCUCAAGAAUAAGAGGUUGCUAACUCUGUGCCAGCAGCAGCGGUAAUACAGAGACCUCGAGCGUUAUCCGGAAUUACUGGGCGUAAAGGGUCCGUAGGCGGUCACCGUAAGUCAUGCGUUAAAUCGUUGGGCUCAACCCAGCGUCUGCGUGUGAUACUGCGGGGCUAGAGGCUGGGAGAGGUACACGGAAUUGCCGGUGUAGCGGUAAAAUGCGUUCAUAUCGGCAAGAACACCAAAGGCGAAGGCAGUGUACUGGAACAGAUCGCAUUAAGCACUCCGCCUGGGAAGUACGAUCGCAAGAUUAAAACUCAAAGGAAUAGACGGGGACCCGCACAAGCGGUGGAGCAUGUGGUUUAAUUCGACGGUAAACGAGGAACCUUACCUGGGCUUGAAAGACAGCUGCACGCCGCUGGAAACAGUGGCCGCCUUCGAGGGUGCUGUCUAGGUGCUGCAUGGUUGUCGUCAGCUCGUGGCGUGAGCUGUUCCCUUAAGUGGGGUAACGAGCGCAACCCCUGUCCUGCGUUAUUAUGUCGCAGGAGACUGCCCUCGCAAGAGGGAGGAGGGUGGGGAUGACGUCAAAUCAGCAUGGCCCUUACGUCCAGGGCUACACACGUGCUACAAUGGCCGGUACAAUGGGUGUGCUAAGUCGCAAGAUGGAGCUAAUCCCUAAAAGCCGGUCUCAGUUCGGAUCGAAGGCUGCAAUUCGCCUUCGUGAAGCUGGAAUCGCUAGUAACGCGCCGAUCAGCCACGCGGCCGUGAAUACGUUCUCGGGUCUUGUACUCACCGCCCGUCAAGCCAAGAGAGUCGGGGGCACCCGAACGUCGCCGUAGGGCGGCGGAAGGUGAAACCGAUGAUAGGGGCUAAGUCGUAACAAGGCAUCCGUAGCGGAAGCUGUGGAUGGAUCACCUCCUUU
rfam:Parcubacteria (Thrbacteria) bacterium GW2011_GWA2_53_10 TY77_C0030, whole genome shotgun sequence.